AUGUCUUCCCGAGCGAAGCUUUUCCACACUACUCCCAAGAACCAUGUGUUCCAUCGUGUCAUCGUCUCGUCGCUCGUCCUGCUGCUGUCAUGCACGCCGGCGAGCGGCGAGCAAACCCCGCACAAACCACUGGUCACCAAGCUCGCCAAGGACCCCAUCACCUCUCUCUACACCAUCACCGUCAAGGCCGACAAGUCGCCGCUCCUCCUCGACCUCGCCGGCUCGCUCGUCUGGUCGACGUGCCCGCCGCCGUCGUCAUCACACAGCAAUGUGGCAAGCCAGUCCGGUCCGUGCGGGGGCGCGGCCAGCCAGCAGUGGCCACGCCGCUGCCCGCACGUGGAGCCGGGGUCGGGAUGCGCCUGCGCGGGCAAUCCGGUCACCCGCGAGUGCUCCACCGGCGGCCUCACGAGCUUCGCGAUGUCGGCCAACACCACCGACGGCGCCAUGGAGCUUCCCCCGGAAGAGUCGUUCGCCGUCGUCGGCGCGUGCGCGCCGGGCAGCCUGCUGAGGUCGCUCCCCGCGGGCGCCACCGGCGUCGCGGGGUUCUCCCGGCGCCCGCUCUCGCUGCCGUCGCAGCUCGCCGCCCAGCGCGGCUUCGGAGGUAAGUUCGCCCUGUGCCUCCCCGAUUUCGCGACCUUGGGCUACGGCGACGUGCCUCCGGACCCGUACUUCACCCCGCUCCUCACGAACCCGGCGAACGCUGCCGGUUACUACAUCCCUGUCAAGGGCAUCUCCGUGUCGUGGCAUGAGGCCGACGCUCCAGCGGCCCUGAUCCGCGGCGCGCUCGACCUCGACGCCGCCACCGGCCGCGGCGGCGUCGUGCUGAGCACCGCCACGCCGUACAUGAUCAUGCGUCCCGACGUGUUCCGCGCGUUCGCCAAGGCGUUCGACGCCGCCAUUACCAGGGGGAAGAAGAAUCCGACGAGCACGGUGAAGCGGGUGGUGCCGGCGCCGAAGCCGUUCGAGCUGUGCUACAAGGGCGGGUUCCCAAUGCUGAAGCGGCCGGUGGGGCCCGGAGGCAUGCUGGUGGAGGGCGAGCCGGCGGUGGUGGUCGGCGGGAAGCAGCUGGAGAACAACCUGCUGGUGUUCGACCUGGAGAAACAGGUGCUCGGGUUCAGCGUGCCGCUCGACUUCCGCAUGUCCAGUUGCAGAAGCACCAGUUUCUUCGGAAACUAA
rnacentral:rRNA from 1 species